GGGCACUGUCGGGCCCGAGCCGCGUUGCGCCGCCCCCAGCGCGACCGCCUCCCCCUCCCGAUCGCGUCACACUCAAGGUCCAAAGAUGGUGUGCGCACUUGUCUGUGGUCAUUUCCCAUUAUAAUGAAUGGGAGGCGCAGUUUCUACCAAAACACUCGCUGCAGACAAACUUCAUGUCCUAUUUGAAAAAAGUCUGGACCAUGAGUGAGGGCACAAACACAGCUAUGAUAUAUCGAAAUGGCAGGUUGCUCCUCCUUACGGUGUUGCCUGGAGAGCGAUGCGAUUGAGCCAUUGAGCGAUGGGCAGGGUUAACUUGACUUUUUCUCCUGCCUUGGGGGGGGGGGGGGAUUCUUUUAAGAAUGUGGAUUUUUGGGUCAUCUUUGGCGCCCCCUAGAACGUAAACCGUGGGGUGCAGCGUCAUGAUUUUUACAACUUUGAAUGGCCAUGGGGUGUAGAUUGGCCUGAGCAAAUUUGGUGUCAGUGGGACGAAAGCCUUAGGAGGAGUUAGCCACAUUCCAAUGUGUGCGAAUCGGCAAAAAAUGCAAAAUAGCCCUUUAACCGUACAUUUGACAGAUACGCGCGCAUUGACUUUUUUGUAGAUAUUAUUGAGAUACAUAUGUGUGUCAAUUUUUGUGUCAAUAUGAUAAAGCGUACAGGCGUGACAGUCAAUAGUGUGAAUUUCCACCUUAGGGGACAAGAAAAAAUUGACUUUUUUCUCCUGCCAUGGGGGGCGCUCUUUUGGGGAGUAAAAAUUCCUUCACAAAUGUGUUGAUGGCUGGACAUUGCAUCAUCCUAGAAAACUUGGAGGCCAGUGAGGACAAAAAUAAAAAGUUAUAAGACUUUUAAAUAUGUGGAUUUUAGGGUUAUCUUUGGCGCCCCCUAGAACCUAAACCGUGGGGUGCAGCGUCAUGAUUUGAAUAACUUUUAAUGGCCAUGGGGUGUAGAUUGGCCUGAGCAAAUGUGGUGCCGGUGGAACGAAAGCCUUCGGAGGAGUUAGCAAAAUUCCAAUGUGUGCGGAUCGGCAAAAAAUGCGGAAUAACCCUUUCACCGUACAUUUGACAGAUACGCGCGCAUUGACUUUUUCGUAGAUCUUAUUGAGAUACAUGUGUGUGUCAAUUUUUGUGUCAUUUUGCCAAAGCGUACAGGUGUUAAACUCAACAAUGUGUAUUUUCACCUUAGGGGACAAGAAAAAAUGGACUUUUUUCUCCUGCCAUGGGGGGGCGCUCUUUUGGGGAGUAAAAAUUCCUUCACAAAUGUGUUGAUGGCUGGACAUUGCAUCAUCCUAGAAAACUUGGAGGCCAGUGAGGGCAAAAAUAAAAAGUUAUAAGACUUUUAAAUAUGUGGAUCUUAGGGUUAUCUUUGGCGCCCCCUAGAACCUAAACCCUGGGGUGCAGCGUCAUGAUUUGAAUAACUUUUAAUGGCCAUGGGGUGUAGAUUGGCCUGAGCAAAUGUGGUGCCGGUGGAAUGAAAGCCUUCGGAGGAGUUAGCGAAAUUCCAAUGUGUGCGGAUCGGCAAAAAAUGCGAAAUAACCCUUUAACCGUACAUUUGACAGAUACGCCCGCACUGACUUUUUUGUAGAUCUUAUUGAGAUACAUGUGUGUGUCCAUUUUUGUGUCAAUAUGACAAAGCGUACAGCCGUCAUGUGAAUUUUCACCUUAGGGGGCGCUAUGGAGCCAUUUUGCAUUUUAUUGUUUGGGCGACUUCAGAAUAUCGAAUUUUUCACCAGGCCCGGACGUCCUGCCAAAUUUCCUGAGUUUUCGCCAGUGGGAAGUGGGCCAUUUUCCAGUUUAAAGCGGAGGAAAAAUAAUAACGAAAGAAGGAAACAUGCAGGAACAAGAGGGCUCUCGCAGCUGCUUAGCAGCUACGCUCGGGCCCUAACUAGGACCCCGUUGGGGCACUGGCGGGCCCGAGCUGUGUCGCGUCCCCCCCCCAACGCGCUGCCUCCCCGUCCCAUUUGUGUCCUCUGGCCAUCGCCCUCUCUGGUAACGCCCAUCACUGCAAAGACCCUUUUCCUUCAUCGGCGUUUGCUGUUCUUCCUGCCAGUGCGUGUUGCUUUCACUUACACUUGCCACAGCCAGCCUCGUGAGUGCCUAGCCUAUUGGAUAUCACUGUCACCUACACAGGACAGUCAUUACCUUUCUAUUAAUACUUUGUUUUUUAAUUUCACAUUAAUUUCCAUAUUGUAUAAACAACUGGUAAAAACUUGAGCCCCUGCCCCUGUAUAAUCAUGUGCACGUCUCUGUUCUAGCUCUAAGGUGAAUCUUCACUGCUCAUGUUCUCCUCAGAAGCAGUCACCUCACUCCCCUCAGGUUACUGUACACAUGCAUCAACUGCCUGCUUCAGGUUUGGAUGGAGCUUCAUGGUUGUCUUUGGGAGAAAUGACCAGUCAAGUUGUGUUUGAAAUUUGAUUUUUUUCAGGGGCAAAAGGAGCCUCUGCAUUCUUGUCAAAUAUGUAAAUAGCAUGUUUUUGCAGGUGCUAAAAACCAGACUCUGAGUGUGUGUGUGUGCGUGUGUGUGUGUGUGUGUGUGUGUGUGUGUGUGUGUGUGUGUGUGUGCGUUCAAGUCACAUGACAUAUUUAACCGGAUGUAGCUGCAAGACGGAGCCUCGUUGACUCUCCGUUUCAACUUAUCUCAAAAGUGAGGACCUCAACCUAUAUACCAGUUUUUAAAUUGUGUUGAUAGGCCAAAUAAAACCAGAGUUAUGAUAAAUUAUGUCCGCGAUACUUGUUUUCUGCUUAUUUUGAUCACGUUCGGCGCUCGAUCGCGCUGUAUGAGACAGGAAAACAUAGCAUGCAGACAUUAGCGACAGGUCUUACAGGCGGAAAAGGCUUGCCAAAGGAAAAAAAAAACACACCACAACAUCUCUCCUAUUGGUGGAAAACUUCACCACAACAACCAAUCCAAAAUUAUAUGGUGACUGAUUGACAAGGGGCGGGCGCUUACGUUCUUCCUGCAAUAUGAGAAGGGAGGGAGGGACUCUCAGCAGGGAUGCAGUCUGGGACACGUAGUUGCAAACCUAGCGACUUUGUUGUUAGAUUCAAUGACUUUUCAGACCCCCUAACGACGUUUUUUUAGAAAGAAAGUGACUUUUAUCGACUUCUUCUGGAGUUUAGAGACUCUGACAUGAAGCAGGCUUUCCUUACUGAGGAGUUAGCAACGCUGCUAAGGGUGCAGAGCCACACAUGCGCUCCGAGCUCUGCAUGGGAGACUAGAGCUGAGAGAGCUGCAGCAGUUAGCAGGUUUCACCCUCAGAGACCACCAGGAGUUCAUGUUGAGGCAUUUUCAGUUUUUUUUUUUUUGCCAUAGACACUGUCAGCACAAUCUGCAGUUACACUAACAAAAAUGCUGCAAAAAACAAAGAAUUAUGGAAAAAUUACACAUGGACUGACAUAGAGGAGGAUCUACACAAGUUUUUUACAUCAUGUUUUACAUCAUGCAUCAUUUACAUCAUGUUUUUUUGUAGUGGCAUAAAUAAAAAGUGACAUUUGUGAGACUAUACAGUGUUUUGUAAAUAAUUUUACAAAGAACGCCUGGGCCAUUGCCUGCAUUUUGAUGUAAAUAGAGGUAAAUUACUAUGUUCUUUGUUAAAAAUUUGCAUAUGUUUUGAAGUUUACAAUUUUUAUUUGAAGUUUAAGUUUUAAAAACAGUUCAUCACACAUAUUUGUGGUUUAAUUUCACAUUAAUUUCCAUAUUGUAUAAAUGACUGGAAAAAACUUGAGCCCCUGCCCCUGUAUAAUCAUGUGCACGUCCCUGUUCUAGCUCCAAGGUGAAUCUUCACUGCUCAUGUUCUCCUCAGAAGUAGUCACCUCACUCUCCUCAGGUUACUGUACACAUGCACCAACUAUCUGCUUCAGGUUUGGAUGGAGCUUCAUGGUUGUCUUUUGGAGAAAUGAACAGUCAAGUUGUGUUUGAAAUUUGAUUUCUUUCAGGGGCAAAAGGAAGCCUCUGCAUUCUUGUCAAAUAUGUAAACAGCAUGUUUUUGCAGGUGCUAAAAAACAGACUCUGAGUGUGUGUGUGUGUGUGUGUGUGUGUGUGUGUGUGUGUGUGUGUGUGUGUGUGUGUUGGCGUGUGUGUAUAUGUGUGUGUGUCCGGCAGUACUCUGUACUCCUGCAGUGGCCAAAAAGACUUUUAAGAAUGUGGAUUUUUGGGUCAUCUUUGGCGCCCCCUAGAACUGCAGUACUCUGUACUCCUGCAGUGGCCAAAAUGACUUUUAAGAAUGUGGAUUUUUGGGUCAUCUUUGGCGCCCCCUAGAACGUAAACCGUGGGGUGCAGCGUCAUGAUUUUUACAACUUUGAAUGGCCAUGGGGUGUAGAUUGCCCUGAGCAAAUUUGGUAUCGGUGGGACGAAAGCCUUAGGAGGAGAUAGCCACAUUCCAAUGUGUGCGAAUCGGCAAAAAAUGCGAACUAGGACCCCGUUGGGGCACUGGCGGGCCCGAGCCGUGUCGCGUCCCCCCCCCAACGCGCUGCCUCCCCGUCCCAUUUGUGUCCUCUGGCCAUCGCCCUCUCUGGUAACGCCCAUCACUGCAAAGACCCUUUUCCUUCAUCGGCGUUUGCUGUUCUUCCUGCCAGUGCGUGUUGCUUUCACUUACACUUGCCACAGCCAGCCUCUUGAGUGCCUAGCCUAUUGGAUAUCACUGUCACCUACUCAGGACAGUCAUUACCUUUCUAUUAAUACUUUGUUUUUUAAUUUCACAUUAAUUUCCAUAUUGUAUAAACAACUGGAAAAAACUUGAGCCCCUGCCCCUGUAUAAUCAUGUGCACGUCUCUGUUCUAGCUCUAAGGUGAAUCUUCACUGCUCAUGUUCUCCUCAGAAGCAGUCACCUCACUCCCCUCAGGUUACUGUACACAUGCACCAACUGCCUGCUUCAGGUUUGGAUGGAGCUUCAUGGUUGUCUUUUGGAGAAAUGACCAGUCAAGUUGUGUUUGAAAUUUGAUUUUUUUCAGGGGCAAAAGGAGCCU
rnacentral:lncRNA from 1 species